GGAAGGGCUGCAGCUCAGUGGUAGAGCAUCUGCCUUGCAUGUAGAAGGUCCCAGCUUCCAUUCCCAGCAUUUCCA